UUUUGAGAAGAGAGCUGAGGCCGUUAAAGGCAGGUGUGAUGGAAGCAGAAAAAAAAAGAACCCAGCUCGACGAGGAACAGGAGCCACGGUGCAGAUCAGACGCAGCGAGGAAUCUAUUAUCACCAGUACCUGUGCAGAUGAUUCAGAUGAGAAACUGUCAACAUUUGUACAGCGGCUGUAAAGGAGGAAAAUAGGACAAGGACGCACCCUUUUGUGAGCCUCUCUUCUCUAUUGGAAGCUGGAAGCUCAGCAGCAGGUGCAGAGAGCCUAAGUGAAAGCUCGUCAGGACCCUGUGCGUCUCCAGUCUGAACCGAGCUCCUCCGUGAGUUUCCGUUCUGCAGCUGCGCAGUGAGGCUAGAGACCUCUGCCCUUGGAGAGCAGGUCUUGAUUUGAAUAAUUUCCCCCAAGUGCACUUGGUAUCUUAGUCGGAAUCCCCAGGAGCAGACCGUGGGAACAGAAGUUAACUAGAGACAUGACAGUUCCUGGCAGCACCCCUGUUUCCUCCAAAGAAGACGGAUGGGCACAGAAGAACCUCCACCCAGAACUGGCUUCAAAAGGGCAGCACUAGCCACUGGGCAAAACUGCCUUUCACCUCAACUGCUGCAAAGACCCCUUCAGACCCUGGACAAAACAGGACACUGGGGAAUUGAGUUGCCUAAGUAAAGGAAUCAAAGGAAAUACUCAAGGUCCUCUACCAGGAUGUAGGUCUGUGCAAAGAGAAAACAGAAGAUGGGCACUUCUGGUACCCUAGAUUACCUCUGUAUCUGUGGAGAGCUGCGCCACGCCUUAAAGAUGGUGCUGGCUUCCGCCUUCCACCAUCCCGACGGAAAAGAAAAAGCUUUGGAUUCCUUCAAAAUUAAUAAAGAUCAGCUUUGACCAGGGGAGACCGCCUGAGGAUCUCGGCUUCAGACACGAGGAAGGAAGCCAGGAAAGACUACAGGACACGUGCUGUGUAUGCUGAUCCCUUUGCAUGGGAACAUCUUUGAGACUGGAUGAGACAUGAUAAAUCUUGUUGGCUACAGAGUCCUCAUAACAGUGUGGCUAUACAGUCCAAAUGCACUUAUAAAGUUGACAGAUGCCUUUUAUCUACCCAACACAGAGCAACAACAAAAAAGAUCAUCUUUAGCUGACUUGUCCACACUGUACAUUCCAUACUUGUGUUAAUGCAGAUAUGAUGUUAGCUUUAAAAGUUUGUGUGCCUUCAGAAUAAAAGAACCACAUACCAAUAAAGACACGUAGCCCAAGUGA